rnacentral:lncRNA from 1 species
UCCUCCAUCUGGCUCAAUCGCUGCAUUCCAGGAUUAAAAGAUUCACUUAAGAUGACAAAAACAAAUUAGCUGUCACAAUAAAAUCCUUGUGAGUUCUGCAGGAAGGUCAGGUAGAAGGUCAAAACGCUCCUCUCUGGCUGUGAAGCUCCUCGUCUGGCCUAGAUUCCUGGCUCUUGCUGGCCCCUGCAGAGCACGGGGAAUCAGAAUGAAACCAUCCGUCAAAAACACUGAUUCAUCGUUCCCUGCUAACGUGUUCUGACAUCAUUCUGUGGACAGUGUCCAAAAUGAAAUUUAAAACUGAAAUGGUUGAUGGAUUAAGAGGCCAAUGAAUCACUACGACUUCAUCAGAAAUUUGUUAUUAUUAGUAGCUUAUCAGUAGAUGUGUGGUUAAAAAGUCACAUAAAGUUCACACAUACAGUGUGUGUGUGUGUGUGUAUAUAAGACAAAAGUUCAAUAACUAAUCUGUACUGAUAAGAACUGAUUUAGACUCUCUCUCUCUCUUUCUUUCUUUCAACCUGUUUAGGAACAUGUCCAGGUCAUAUUUUACCCAGAAUCAAAAGACAUAUAUAAGAAAUAAUAUAACAUUAUUUUUGUUGACAAUUAAGCCCAUUGUAAUUAGUGCAUUAUUUUUUCCUUUUGAAUAUAUAUAUUUUUGUUUUCUCAUUUUCAAUCUUAUUCUCAUUCCUGAAAUGAAGUCAAUUUACUGGUUGGAGGUAAAAACAAAAAUACAGUAAAGUAUUUUUUUUUGUAUGGCGACAAACAAAUACUAAUAAUGAUGUAUACAUAUUUUAAAAUUUUUAAAUUAUUUAUUAUUUUGUAAGAGUUAGCAGUUUGGUAGACCUACCUGGGCAUUUAUAUCCUGUCUGAGAGAUUAAUGUGGAGGUGCCAACAGACAGCAUUAAUAUAGAAGAGGGUUACUUUGGAAAACAGUGGCAUUAACAAAUGAGGAGUGAGAAAACACUGACUUAAGCUCACAUCAGUGAUGCAUUCAAAGGUAACCAGUGACAUGCACUGAUGUAUCAUACCAACCACCUGCUGGCCCUCUGUGAUGCUCCGAUGUGCUGAUGGGAGACAUGUUUCUAACGUAACACACCAUGCUUAUCACUUGCAUUUACCUCAUGCAAAGCACACUAACAGUAGUUGUCAAUUGCGUCAAAGAAUGAAAAGUGGAGCUGAAAGUCUAAUGGAGAUAAAAAGAGGGAGAAAAUGAAGGGAAGGAGAGAAAAAGACACAGAAAGAGAACACAGUCUUAGUUCAGCAGAAGAGAGCGAUGCAGAUUCAUAGACAUUCCCGGUCGACCUGUUCUUGCAUGUUUAGACUCCACAACAUUCCAACGCAAGCCAGUUACACAGGAACACAGGAAGAAGAAAAUACACAAAAUCAAAAGAGUCAUGCAUGUGUGCCGGUGUGUUCAUGCGACGUACCUUGAGUGGUUGUUUUUUUCGUUCAGGUAGCAGACCGAUCGUUUCGAUAAGACCUUAAUAUAUCGGCAGGAGCCAUGAGUAUUAACUUCGUGUUCCUUGAUAUGCUUUUUUUUAAUUCUUAAAAACAUGCAACUGCUGACUUGCAUUUCAUGUGUGCGAAAAAGUACCAUCAUUUUCUAAAAAAUAAAAAAAAAAAAAAAAUAACUUCAAGAACAAGUUCCAAAAUAAAGAUGUACACAACAUAAACAAAUUCACACACACAAAAAAAGACAAACAUACAACACUGUGCACUUUAAUCUUUCAUGAGGGAAAUUAACUACAAGUGCAUAAAUCAAAUAAAAAAAUUACAGUACAAUAUAAAACUGCUGACUUUGAUUUUAGGUCUCGAAAAAAC